rnacentral:sRNA from 1 species
CGGGAGCGGGGACCCGAGCCUGCAGCCGAGCGCCGCUGCCGGCCCUGGACACUCGGCUCAGCCAAGCAUCCUUCUUGGGGGCCGAGAAAGUGGGGCCACUCUGCCGUGCCGAGGACCUGGGAGGAGCCCUCGGUACCCCGGCCUGGGGCCCUGGGGCACACACGUCCAGCCCAGCCCGAGCCUGCGUUUCCUGAGCCGGGAUCUGGGGCGAGAUGGCCGCAGGCGGCCGUGCGCCCGAGCCCCGCGUCCUCGUCUGCCUCGGGGCGCUCCUGGCCGGCUGGGUCGCCGUAGCCCAAGGUUGAACUCGCCUUACACCUGUAACCGGUGGACUUCCCUACACACCUUUGCAAGUCUUCCUGUGCCGACCAGCGCCUUCAAAGCGGGGUCUUCCGCCUUUACUUUUGGAAAAGCUUUUUAUUUUGAAAUACUUGGCUGACUUACAAAAGACUUCCCCUCACACUUGACAUGAUUGACAAAAGGUCUGAAAUGCUUCAUCUAUGGUCUGCUUUGCUACGAAAAAAGAAUUGGGGGGUGCUUACAAAAAUAUAUAGAAUGUAAAAAGAUUGAACUAUUUAUAUAUAUUUGAAUUUAAUUCACCAGCAUGCCUACUGUGCAUGCCUACUGUGUGCUGGGAGUGUGAUAAGCUGGGAGGAGGCUCGGGUGCAGGGAGAGGAGAUGGAGCCAGGAGGUGGUGAAGUUUGCCAGGAUGCAGGCAGAGCGCUACUUUUUGUGUUCCCGGGUCUGCUCCACCCAACUGGUCUCCUCUUGCACGUUUCCGGAGAUGCGUUGUAAAUUAUGCUGGAGCUUCUUAGCAGCAAGUGCCAAAAGUUCCUAAUUAUUAGGCUCAUACAAUUUUAUUUUAUUUAUUUAUUUAUUUUUACCAACCAUUUAAAAACAAUAACAUCUCUAGGUUUCCAGUUUAUCUGGAAAAAUCUGAAGGUCUGGCAACACGGGGCCUGCUUUCCCAGUUGGAAUUGGGCAUUUGUCAUCCUCUUAUCUAGGGCAUGUGAGCCUAAAUUUGUUCCACCUCUCCCUGUUGUAAUAUUUGCCCCCCCACCUUCAGUCAUGGGUGUUACCUGCUGGCCCUGCAGGCAUUUGGCUGAGUAAUCACUGUGCUGGGGUGUGUGUGGCGGGGGAGAAGGACAGUUCCCAGUUGGUCAUCUCUGGACGUGAAAGGUGGUUGUCAAGUAUUCCCAUCUCCCCAGCUGUUUGCAGUGUUUCCUGCACGAUGAACACCAGGAACCUGGGAAGUGAGAAGAACCCUGGGAUGAAGUCAUCCUGCUGGAAUGACCUGGCUUUCAGGCUGACUGCCACCCGCCCCGUGGGGAACCUAUCUCCACUGCUAUGGCCAGCUAUUUUUUUCGAGCCAGGCUCUUGCUCUGUUGCCCAGGCUGGAGUGCAGUGGCGCAAUCACUGCACUGAUCCUCCCACCUCGGCCUACAAGUAGCUGGGACUACAGGCGUGCACCACCACGCCUAGCUAAUUUCUAAAAUUUUUUUGUAGAGAUGGUCUCUACAAUCGCUUGAGCCCAGGUUGGUCUUAAACUCCUGGACCCAAGCGAUCCUCCUGUCUCGGCCUCCCAAAGUGUUGGGAUUAUGGGUGUGAGCCACCGUGUUGAGCCUUUGCCCAGCUAUUUUGAUGCCCAGACCUGCUUCCCCUUUGUGUAUGGUGCCAGGGGGCUUCCUGAGCUUGGUGUGUUUUUGUUGUGUGUUUGUUUUUUAAGUUGGGAGUUUUUGGGGAAAAAAAUUUUUCUCCUGACAUUCAAUGCCAGACAACUUAUAUGCAUCCACUAGCUACCCUGGAUUGUAAAUCCUAGGUUAUUCUUGGGAAAAGUUGCUUUAAAAAAAUUAAUAAAUGCUUGGGUGUAA